ACAGCAGUCGCCACGGGAACACGUAGGGUGCGAACGUUAAUCGGAAUUACUGGGCGUAAAGCGUGCGCAGGCGGUUGUGUAAGACAGGUGUGAAAUCCCCGGGCUUAACCUGGGAACUGCGCUUGUGACUGCACAGCUAGAGUAUGGCAGAGGGGGGUGGAAUUCCACGUGUAGCAGUGAAAUGCGUAGAGAUGUGGAGAAACACCGAUGGCGAAGGCAGCCCCCUGGGCCAAUACUGACGCUCAUGCACGAAAGCGUGGGGAGCAAACAGGAUUAGAUACCCCUGUAGUCCCUGUCUCUUAUAC
rnacentral:rRNA from 1 species